rnacentral:rRNA from 1 species
CCUACGGGAGGCAGCAGUGGGGAAUCUUGCGCAAUGGGCGAAAGCCUGACGCAGCCAUGCCGCGUGAAUGAUGAAGGUCUUAGGAUUGUAAAAUUCUUUCACCGGGGACGAUAAUGACGGUACCCGGAGAAGAAGCCCCGGCUAACUUCGUGCCAGCAGCCGCGGUAAUACGAAGGGGGCUAGCGUUGCUCGGAAUUACUGGGCGUAAAGGGAGCGUAGGCGGACAUUUAAGUCAGGGGUGAAAUCCCGAGAGCUCAACUCUGGAACUGCCUUUAGAUACUGGAUGUCUUGAGUGUGAGAGAGGUAUGUGGAACUCCGAGUGUAGAGGUGAAAUUCGUAGAUAUUCGGAAGAACACCAGUGGCGAAGGCGACAUACUGGCUACAUUACUGACGCUGAGGCUCGAAAGCGUGGGGAGCAAACAGGAUUACGAUACCCUGGUAGUCCACGCCGUAAACGAUGAUUGCUAGUUGUCGGGAUGUUUACAUCUCGGCGACGCAGACUACGACAUUAAGUACACUCCGCCGUCGGGUAGGUACGGUACG